GUUCUCAUGAUGUAGUGGUUAUCACAGCUGUCUAACACACAGAAGGUCCCAGGUUCGAGCCCUGGUGAGCACA
rnacentral:tRNA from 1 species